ensembl:lncRNA
AGCGACAGCGCCCGUCGGCCUCCUCCACCCCCACCCGCCGGGCACUAGCCUUGGAAACGCGAGCUCAGUCAGAGGAGAAGCGUGCAAGGAAGAGCUUAACCCGGAGCCCUUCGAGACUGCAGCUGUCUGGGAGCCAGGAACACCUGCUUCCCGUCCCCCACCCCGGGCUGCGAGACGGCCCUCAGAGCUCUCGGUUCCUGUGCUCGCUGCUUCGGGACAUUCAGCUUAAGGGGGUGAAUUCAGCCUGCACUCAGUGUUGCCGAGAGAGGGUUUCCAAGAAGAAAGUAGCUGCUGGGGCUGAGAACCCUGGAUGUGGACCACGAGCCGAGUUCGAAUGUGUGUGGCCUUACCUGCCUGUAUUCCUAUUCCUAACCCUAAUUCCAAGCAUUGCAGCAUCCUCGGUGGAGAGGGUUUAUGGAAAAUUAAAUGUCUUCCUGAUUUCUGAAAGAGCUGAUUUUCUGGUGAAGUCUUUGGCCUGCAAGGAAUUUCCAAGGAACCAACGGCAUUAAAAGACCCUGAGAUGGGUGUUUGUGGGCACCAGUUAUAAGAGCGAGCUGAAGAUGCCCUUUCUCUCGGAGAUUUUACCGUGUUAUCUGGGCUGCUGAAAGCUGGGUUCUUCCCAGAAGCAUCUUUCUCUUUCUUCAACGAGGCGUCCUCUCAACAGCUCCAUAUUUCCAUGUUGUUUUGUACCUGCUGCUUAAUGAUCUCCUUUGUUGGGCAGCAGGUAAUGAAUCUCGUGCUCCUCUGCCCUUUCCCUAAGACACUUUUCAUGCUACUGUCCUCUAAGACUUUGUAGGAGUCCAGGCUCACGGCCCUCUGCAGCUCAGCAGCACCGCCGUUGAGCGGAGAUUUCAGAGUGCUGAAAUUCUGAGGUCGGUGGUACUCCAGCCUCCUCUUGAAGAUUUUCUCCUGCACUAAGAUCCCCUUGAAAUUUUCAUGGCUUGAGCUCCUGCCUCAAACACUCCCUUUGUUUUGGGCUUUUCUCUCAAGCUCCCUCACGAGGCUAUAGAAAGCAAAAGGGACCAGGUAGUCUUGAGGUUGCCCACAUUCCAGGAGAUAUGUGUCUUAUAGACUGAACAGAAACUUACCGCAGGAGCUUGGAGGUGGACGAGUGAGAAGGCCCCAGGUAACUAACUCUUAAAUCAAAUGCCCGCUGCAAAAAUCCAGUUGCCUCUUGUUCAGAAUGACCAGAAACAUCACUUUUCAUCAAUUGAUCAGCUAGGUAGGAAGAAAAGAAACCUAUGUUAAUCCACAUACACUUCAAUUUGCACCUUCAGAAACUUACAAUUAAAAUGGAUGAAAUGAAACAAGAGGUACAUUAGUAAAAGGGCUAUUGAGUUUAAAUGUGCUUUAAAAGGGACAAAGGUGAGUUCACAACCAGGGGUGUCUUGACUCAAAAUCAACCAGUGUCGAAUGUAUUUUACAGUCUGUAUACUUCUGUGUGUGCCAGUGUGAGCACACCUUCCACUGGUAUAGAUCUCCACAGCUUCCCAUGGUGUAUGGUUCCUAUCUAUUUCCUUCCAUAGUGCCUCUGUUGUUUAUCUCCAAUUUAUCUUGUCCAUCUCUUGUUUGUACAUGGUCGUUUUCAUGUUGUUUCCCCCAUUAGAUUGUGAGCUAUUUGAGGGCAGGGGCUGUCUUGCACCUUUCUUUGUAUCCCCAGCACUUAGCACAGUGCCUGGCACACAGUAGGCAUUUAAUAACUGCCUGUUGACCGUACUUGCUAUCACAAAAGGGCUGAAUUUACAGCAUCAUUCAUAAACUUAAAAUUCAAGUUGUGAUACACCAAUAUUAUUGGCAUUAGUCUAUGACACAGGCACUAUGACCCACCCUAGUAUAUCAAAGUGGAGGAAAAGAUUGGCACAUGACCUAGCAGCCUUCCCAUGUACUAGUUUGUCCAUUCUCUUGCUAACAGGUGCUAAUCAGACUUAGUUCUAUUCAACAGUGACUUCAGUUUGCAAAGUGCUCUCUAUCAUGACUACCACUUCAUUGUUUUAUGGUACAUGGGAUGUUUUGAGCCAUAUUCCUCUGUUCAAUAAACUCUCAUGGCUCCCUAUUCCUUCCA